AGCCGGAGCAAAAUAAUAGCCAUCUACUAGUGAUUGGUCUUAUGAAGAACACAAGGGCAUUGUGCUUGCUUGCUCUUAUUGUCAUUUCCACCACUUUCUUGUCCUGCCAUGCAGCAGGUACAAUGGACCUUGGACCUAUUCUUGGGUGUGUAAAGAUGAAAAAAGCUUGCUCAGUUAAUGGGUGCUUGCGGCAAUGUGCCUCUCAUGGUUGGAAUACCCACAGAUGCAUUUGCACCGAUGUUGGCCAUUGUUGUCACUACGCGGAGGCAAUGGCACCAAAUUGAUAGUAGUAGUAUGAUAUAUUGUUGUUAGCCAUGUCCUCUUGCUUUGCAAGGGUGAAUAUUAAUCAUCUAUGUCACCGCUGAUAUAAUAGAUGAGGAAGAUAUAAUAAAUUAAAAGCUAUAUAGUUGAAUUAUACUAUUUAUGAAGGGACUAUUCGGGCUA